AGGUUAAGUACUCAUUUAUUGUGAUAAGCUUGGACUUUUUUUAGAAAGGUGAUUGCUUGGCUUGAGCAUAGAUCUUGCUUUGGUAAACAAGAAUAGUCGUUCCAAGCAAAAAAAUGUACAUGCUGGUGGUUCAAAAAACUUUGCUUCGUACGCAGAAGAAAUGGUAACAACGCUUGGGCAUCCUGUAGAGCGUGUAGAGGUAUAUGUAAAACUCCAUCUUUGUAAAGAUGGUACUCUUGUUAACACUGAAGCAGAAAGCAACAUUGAAAAAAUCAACGAACUGUUGAGUGAGUCCUCAACACGUGUGCAGUCAUCCGACCUUACUGGAAGUAUUGCA